AGGUGUGGAAGCGAGGCAGGAGUCAGAGAUCUACGUUUGUGGAUGUGGCAACUGGUGGCAGCUUAUUUCAGAAGGAAAGCUGAGGACCUCCCUCCCAAAGACUUUCUGGAAGAAGGAAUGCUGAAAUGAUCAGACUUUGGCUGUGGACAUGACGUGUCUCCUGCAAGCUGGGAGGAGAUCCUGUGUUUGAGCAGUCUGUCAAAGAGCAACAGGAGAUUUCUGAUGGCUCAUAAUACUUGAUUGACCUGGUCCAAAUCAUCAGACUUUGAAGAAAAUGAACUAUUUUUAGCUUUCUUGUAAACUUCUACUCUGAGGUCGGCGGUUCCACUCACUUGGAGUUCAAUAUGAAUCUUUCCUAACCAAAGAGCAAAUAUAUACAGUGCAAGAGACAGGUUCAAUGCAAGAGACAGGUUCAUGCUCUAGAGAUCCUGAGUUCUUGCUAAUUUUGGAAAACAAAAUUGACUUACUCGUAGAGAAUGAAACACUGUUCACUAUCAACUCAGACAUUUAAAUGCUCUGGCUAGGA